UGUGCGCGAGUCCGCAGGAUUAUGCGAAGCUUAAGGGCAGAAUGAAAGUGAAGGUCGACUUCUUUUCGGGUUGACCAGAGGUGGGAUCCUGGUGAACGUGGCGACUCAGCAAACCUUUGCCAGGCGCACCGCCGGCCCGUCUCGACUGCUUAUUGUCGGUGAGGCGGAGCAAGAGCGUACACGUUGGGACCCGAAAGAUGGUGAACUAUGCCUGGGCAGGACGAAGCCAGAGGAAACUCUGGUGGAGGUCCGUAGCGAUUCUGACGUGCAAAUCGAUCGUCAGACCUGGGUAUAGGGGCGAAAGACUAAUCGAACCAUCUA
rnacentral:rRNA from 1 species